AGGAUGGGCUUGCGGAUUCCAGGCGUGGCUUCGGGGUACCGAAUUUGGGCAGGGGAUUCCCGCCCAUCGGUGCGUGGGGCCAAGUUGGGAUCCCGGUCUGUGCGUGGCCGGGGAAGGGGCGUGAAAGGAAAGUCAGAGGGCCGGGCCUUGGAAGCGUUUUGCUCACCCUUCCGCUUUGCCUAUCGCUCCUGACCCCCCGGGACACCUGGGCGCAGACUACAGUCAAUAAGCAGGGGAGCCGGCUGAUCUCGUCCUGGAUCCCCGUACUUAUUAGAAUAGUUGCACGCCAGCCAGCAUCACAGGCAAGUAAACUGGAAACGGCACCAGUGCAAAAUCACCCAGGUUUGCGUCUUCAAGGAAGAUCGCCGCUGCCCGGCAGGGAGCACCUUGUACCAGAUCUCAACCUUGCCUUUCAGUCCCAAAGCAGCCCCUCGACUAGUCUAGUUCUCCAGAGCUGGUGGGACAGGAGGCACCCCUCUCUAAGUUCAACCAAACAGCUGCCAGUGGAACCAGUCAGCUGUUCUCUCUCAACAGACAGGAUUUUCCCGGUUUGGUGAGCCUAAAGGGAUUCGCUCUGAAAAUGAGCCACCACUUCUGAUUUGCCCAAUCCACCUUCUCAAACUGGGUUGUGAGAUUUGGUGGAAGACAUGAGGGGCCAUCCUGUGGAAAGGGCAGAUGCUCUGUGACCCUUUGGGGGCUGAUCUGACUUAAGGGAGCUGGCCCAAGAGGGCCUACCACAAACACUGGGCUCAGGGACCUUCCUGCUCAGAACUUUGACCUGUCAUUCCCCUGAGAGUUCUGAGUGUGCUUGAGAGAGCAGGGAAUCUGAAUAGAAAACUUACUUAGGUUGGAGACACAGUCUUUGAAUUUGCACAGAUGAGUGAAAAACCCACCCUCACCCCUUCAUAUUAAACUGUAUGAUCUCAAACAAGACAGUUACCCUCUCUGAUUGUUAUUUUCCUCAUCUAUGGAAAUGGGAUUCCCACCCUAUGAUUAUAGCAAGGAUUGGUCUCGGACCAGCUUCUGAUGGUUCCUUAAGAAUUUACACAAGAACAGAUGGGGCAAGAGGGGAGGUUGGAAGGUCAAAGGUGAGCUGAGGGGACUGAUGUGCCCAAGGAAGUUUGGAAGGAGCACAUCAUUGCAUUCACAGAAUUACAGUGUCACACAAGAUGGUGGUGGUGGUUACCACUAGAUGGUGGAAUUGCUGAUUCUCCUGUUCCUCUGGCACUUUUUGGUGUUUUCCCAGAUUAUCCACAAUGAACAUAUAUUACUCUUGUAAUGGGGGGGGAGUAAAUGUUACUUUUUUAAAACAA